rnacentral:rRNA from 1 species
UACAGAGGGUGCGAGCGUUAAUCGGAAUUACUGGGCGUAAAGCGUGCGCAGACGGUUGCGUAAGUCAGAUGUGAAAGCCCCGGGCUCAACCUGGGAAUUGCAUUUGAGACUGCGUAGCUAGGGUGCGGAAGAGGGAAGCGGAAUUUCCGGUGUAGCGGUGAAAUGCGUAGAUAUCGGAAGGAACACCAGUGGCGAAAGCGGCUUCCUGGUCCAGCACC